rnacentral:rRNA from 1 species
AUACGUAGGGGGCGAGCGUUGUCCGGAAUGAUUGGGCGUAAAGGGCGCGUAGGCGGCGCGGGAAGUCUGGAGUGAAAGUCCUGCUUUCAAGGUGGGAAUUGCUUUGGAUACUGCCGCGCUUGAGUGCAAGAGAGGUUAUCGGAAUUCCCGGUGUAGCGGUGAAAUGCGUAGGGAUCGGGAGGAACACCAGUGGCGAAGGCGGGUAACUGGACUGCAACUGACGCUGAGGCGCGAAAGUGUGGGGAGCAAACAGGAUUAGAUACCCUGGUAGUCCACACUGUAAACGAUGAAUGCUAGGUGUAAGAGGUAUCGACCCCUUUUGUGCCGGAGUCAACACAAUAAGCAUUCCGCCUGGGGAGUACGGCCGCAAGGUUGAAACUCAAAGGAAUUGACGGGG